AAAGUAAGGCGGGCUUUGUAAUAAAGACAGUCUCAACCCUGUAAAACGCAGAGAGCUUU
ncrna:Nasonia vitripennis (jewel Type-P1 twister ribozyme ribozyme sequence